CUCCAGAUGUUGCUGAACUACAACUCCCAUGAAUCUAUGAAUGAAAUAUGAAUGAAAUAGAUAGGUUGAGAAUCAUGGGAGUUGUAGUUCAGCAACAUCUGGAG